UACGGGGGGGGCAAGCGUUGUUCGGAAUUACUGGGCGUAAAGGGCUCGUAGGCGGCCAACUAAGUCGGACGUGAAAUCCCCAGGCUCAACCUGGGAACUGCGUCCGAUACUGGAUGGCUUGAAUUCGGGAGAGGGAUGCAGAAUUCCAGGUGUAGCGGUGAAAUGCGCAGAUAUCGGGAAGAACACCCGUGGCGAAGGCGGUUCUCUGGGACGGUACUGACGCUGAGACGCGAAAGCGUGGGGAGCGAACAGG
rnacentral:rRNA from 1 species